UUUAUGGAGAGUUUGAUCCUGGCUCAGAGUGAACGCUGGCGGCGUGCCUAAUACAUGCAAGUCGAACGAUGAAGCUUCUAGCUUGCUAGAAGUGGAUUAGUGGCGCACGGGUGAGUAACGCAUAGGUCAUGUGCCUCUUAGUUUGGGAUAGCCAUUGGAAACGAUGAUUAAUACCAGAUACUCCCUACGGGGGAAAGAUUUAUCGCUAAGAGAUCAGCCUAUGUCCUAUCAGCUUGUUGGUAAGGUAAUGGCUUACCAAGGCUAUGACGGGUAUCCGGCCUGAGAGGGUGAACGGACACACUGGAACUGAGACACGGUCCAGACUCCUACGGGAGGCAGCAGUAGGGAAUAUUGCUCAAUGGGGGAAACCCUGAAGCAGCAACGCCGCGUGGAGGAUGAAGGUUUUAGGAUUGUAAACUCCUUUUGUUAGAGAAGAUAAUGACGGUAUCUAACGAAUAAGCACCGGCUAACUCCGUGCCAGCAGCCGCGGUAAUACGGAGGGUGCAAGCGUUACUCGGAAUCACUGGGCGUAAAGAGCGCGUAGGCGGGAUAGUCAGUCAGGUGUGAAAUCCUAUGGCUUAACCAUAGAACUGCAUUUGAAACUACUAUUCUAGAGUGUGGGAGAGGUAGGUGGAAUUCUUGGUGUAGGGGUAAAAUCCGUAGAGAUCAAGAGGAAUACUCAUUGCGAAGGCGACCUGCUGGAACAUUACUGACGCUGAUUGCGCGAAAGCGUGGGGAGCAAACAGGAUUAGAUACCCUGGUAGUCCACGCCCUAAACGAUGGAUGCUAGUUGUUGGAGGGCUUAGUCUCUCCAGUAAUGCAGCUAACGCAUUAAGCAUCCCGCCUGGGGAGUACGGUCGCAAGAUUAAAACUCAAAGGAAUAGACGGGGACCCGCACAAGCGGUGGAGCAUGUGGUUUAAUUCGAGGAUACACGAAGAACCUUACCUAGGCUUGACAUUGAGAGAAUCCGCUAGAAAUAGUGGAGUGUCUAGCUUGCUAGACCUUGAAAACAGGUGCUGCACGGCUGUCGUCAGCUCGUGUCGUGAGAUGUUGGGUUAAGUCCCGCAACGAGCGCAACCCCCUUUCUUAGUUGCUAACAGGUCAUGCUGAGAACUCUAAGGAUACUGCCUCCGUAAGGAGGAGGAAGGUGGGGACGACGUCAAGUCAUCAUGGCCCUUACGCCUAGGGCUACACACGUGCUACAAUGGGGUGCACAAAGAGAAGCAAUACUGCGAAGUGGAGCCAAUCUUCAAAACGCCUCUCAGUUCGGAUUGUAGGCUGCAACUCGCCUGCAUGAAGCUGGAAUCGCUAGUAAUCGCAAAUCAGCCAUGUUGCGGUGAAUACGUUCCCGGGUCUUGUACUCACCGCCCGUCACACCAUGGGAGUUGUGUUUGCCUUAAGUCAGGAUGCUAAAUUGGCUACUGCCCACGGCACACACAGCGACUGGGGUGAAGUCGUAACAAGGUAACCGUAGGUGAACCUGCGGUUGGAUCACCUCCUUUCUAGA
rnacentral:rRNA from 1 species